UCUCUCUUCCCCAUUCUUUCCUCACUCCAUCCUAAUCUCGCGAUCCCCAUCCACAGCCCGAGCUCUCUGGUGGCCGUCCCUCCCCUUCGUUAGCGACGCAGGCGGACAAGCAGGCCCUUGGUCUGCCCCGCCCCUCCCCUUCGUCAGCACCGCCGGCGGGCGUGCAAGUCCCAGGUCUGCCCCACCCCUCCCCUUCGUCAGCGACGCCGGUGGACGCGCAGGCCCCUGCUCUGCCCCGCCCCUCGCCUUCAUCAGCACCGCCGACGGGCGCGCAAGCCCCUGCUCUGCCCGCUCCUUCUUCCUAUCCGGUGAUGCCGGGGCCCUCCCUUCUCUGGCGACGGCGGGGCGCUCGAGCUCGGCAUGCUCGCCAGCGACGCCGAGGCCUUCCCUCAUGGUGAUGCACUCGCCCCCUCCUCCUGGUGACGGCGGGCUGCUCAUGCUCGACAUGGUCGCCGACGACGUCGCUUCCCUCCCCCCUGCUCAGGAUGCCAUGAAGGACCAGGAGCAGUUGCUGCUCCUGACCUCCAUCUUGAUUAGGAUGACCACGAUGACCUCCGCGUGCUGUGCUGCUGCUUGGGACCCUCCCCCCGUAUGCUUCUCCUCGCUCGUCCUGGUCCAGAUUUUUUUGUGAUGCAAGUAAUGGGGAAAUACAAAAAACACAUAAUGCUGAUUGCUUUGAGCCGUUGUAUUAGAAGUUAGUUAAGUAAUGUACCCUCUGUGGCCGUGUUGGACAGGAGGGGCCAGAGAAGUGCUUCCGGUUGUUUGAAGAAUGUGAGUCUGACAUCAUAGGUUUCCAUUUUAUGAAGAAACCAUCAAGGGAAGAAUUACACCUGAUCCAGGGUCCGUGCAGGGCGGGGGCGGCCGCACGGGUGCUGGGCGGGUUCGUGGGCACUGGCGAUCUGGCGGACUUCUGGCACACUGCGAGGGGGCAGGGCAGCCUCCUGGGUGCCCGCUACGUCAAGGCAGCCUCCUGGGCGCCCGCUAUGUCGAUGGUGCAGGGAGGCGGCUGCAUGGUGGAGUGGCGCGAGAUCGUGGUCUAGAGAAGACGAUGUUGGCGCAAUGGUGACGGAAGGCGGAGAGGGCCAUGCAUGAUUGGGCUAGGAGAAUCAAUUAUUUCCUUAGUCCGGGAUUAG